rnacentral:rRNA from 1 species
UUAGGCAUAUUAGUAAGGGGAGGAAAAGAAACUAACAAGGAUUCCCUUAGUAGCGGCGAGCGAACAGGGAGGAGCCCAGCGCUGAAUCCCCCGGGCCACGCCCGCGGUGAAAUGUAGCGUUUAGGAGGGCCCGUUAGCACGGUGUUUCGUUGCUCGCUCAAGUCCAAACUUGAAUGGGGUCACACAGAGGGUGACAUGCCCGUAGAGCAGAAACGUUCGCCGUGCGGGCCUCUCCUUAGAGUCGGUUUGCUUGAGAGUGCAAACCUAAGUGGGUGGUAAACUCCAUCUAAGGCUAAAUAUGACCACGAGACCGAUAGCACACAAGUACCAUGAGGGAAAGGUGAAAAGAACUUUGAAGAGAGAGUUCAAGAGUGCGUGAAACUGAGGUGGUGAAAACGCACGAGRUCGAAAAGUCCGAAUGGGGAGACUCAAGUCUAUUCCGAACGCUGGUGGCGGUUGGGGGCGAGAUGGUGCGGUCUGCUCGGGUCCUUCGGGGCGCCGGGUUUGUUCCGCCAUCACUCCCUCUGGCUUGCCCGAUCUGGCACGGUGGCCUGCAUUUCUCCGCCUAGUAGGACGUCGCGACCCGUUGGGGUCCGGUCUAUGGCCCGCGGUGGAGUCCCGUGCUUCGGCUUCGGUCGUUGCGUGUGGACCCGUGGUGUCCUGAUCGAAACCCGACGGUAUCAAAGCCUGGGAAGGGACCGCAACUAUGUUGCGCGCGAGUUUUCUCGCACAGGUCCGCACCCGGUCAGCGGCGCUUCUGCUUUCGAUCCUCGUACGACCCGUCUUGAAACACGGACCAAGGAGUCUAACAUGUGCGCGAGUCAUUGGGUUUUGAAACCUAAAGGCGCAGUGAAAGUAAAGGUCGCUUCGGUGACUUUAGGGGCGAUGGCUGUUGCUACCCGCUCGGCCCGCAGCCCCGGGGCGUCUCAUUCUCUUUGAGAGGAGGUGCACCCAAAGCGUACACGUUGGGACCCGAAAGAUGGUGAACUAUGCCUGGCAAGGACGAAGUCAGGGGAAACCCUGAUGGAAGUCCGUAGUGGUUCUGACGUGCAAAUCGAUCGUCAGAGCUGGGUAUAGGGGCGAAAGACUAAUCGAAUCAUCUAGUAGCUGGUUCCCUCCGAAGUUUCCCUCAGGAUAGCUGGCGCUCGGAGGAACAGAGUCUCAUCCGGUAAAGCGAAUGAUUAGAGGCCUUUGGGCCGAAACGACCUAAACCUAUUCUCAAACUUUAAAUGGGUGAGAGCUGUGGCUUGCUUAAGUGAAGCCAUCAGAUCCCCCCGGAUCGUUGAGUGCCAAGUGGGCCAAUUUUGGUAAGCAGAACUGGCGCUGUGGGAUGAACCAAACGCAGCGUUAAAGCGCCUAAAUGGACGCUCAUGGGAUACCAUGAAAGGCGUUGGUUGCUUAAGACAGCAGGACGGUGGCCAUGGAAGUCGGAAUCCGCUAAGGAGUGUGUAACAACUCACCUGCCGAAGCAACUAGCCCUGAAAAUGGAUGGCGCUGAAGCGUCCUGCUUAUACGCUGCCGUCAGGGUAAAAGUUGGCCAUCACGCCAUUGAAACUCUGACGAGUAGGAGGGUCGCGUGGGUGUGCGCAGAAGCGUCGGGCGUAGGCCCGCGUGGAGCCGCCCAUGGCGCAGAUCUUGGUGGUAGUAGCAAAUACUUUAGAGAGGCCCUGGAGGACCGAUGUGGAGAAGGGUUUCGUGUGAACAGCCGUUGCACACGAGUCAGUCGAUCCUAAGCCCUCGGGGAAACCCGAUGUCGAUGGAGCGGGUUCCGCUUAACGAAGCAAUUCAUGGACCGCCAUUGGGCGAAAGGGAAUGUUGUUCCUAUUCAGCAACCCGGUAUCGGCACCGCUUAUCCGGGCCCUCAUAGCUCGUCGCGGUGACGCGAAUAACCCCGGAGAAGCCGUCGGGAGCUGCCAGAAGAGUUUUCUUUUCUGCCUAAGCCAACACCCUCCCUGGAAGCAUUUUGCAUGGAGAUAGGGAGAUCGUUGAGCUAAGAGCAUCGCACUUGCGGCGGUGUUGGCAGUCUCUCCUCGGACCUUGAAAAUCCGGGCGAGGGUUACGCGAGCAGCCGAUCCGGAUCGUACCGAUAUCCGCAGCAGGCCUCCAAGGUCAUGAGCCUCUAGUCGAUAGAUCA